rnacentral:lncRNA from 1 species
CCUGAAAUGUUUUUGGAUCAUGGGACACAGUUUGUCUGAUCCUGUCAUUUAUCCCAUUGAGGAAUUGGACUUACAAUCUUUCAUCCAUUUUCUUCUUUUGGCACUGUUCUAUCACCAAUCGCUCCUGUUCAUUUGCACUCACUAUCUCGAUUUGUGUUUCUGCUGCAAGGGAUUGUAGUCUAAUUGCAAACAUUUGUAUAUCCUCGCUCCUUUGUUGUGUGCAAGCAUAUAAAUGUUGUAACCUGAUUAUAUAUGACAAUUUCGCAAAUUGCUUCAGCAUUUGCACUUUAAAAUUCCUAUAAUUCAUUAUAUCUUUGAUUAAAGUUGCACCACACACAUUCUCUCACAAUCCCUGAGAGUUUACAUUUUGCAAUUCCUAAUUUCUGCUACUCUGUCCACAAUGCCAAAGUAGCUAUUUCCUCAAUGGUAUCGAAAUAGCUGUAAUUCACUGUGCUGGUUUCCCUGCGAAGAUGGGGAUCAUUCCCUUGAAAGUAGUGAAUGACCCACCAGAAGCUUACUGUUCAUUUCUACUCUUGUUGUCAAGUCUGCCUCAUCAGUCAUCUUGAAGUAUCAAAUUCAAAUUUGUUAUUCAUAAUCGUUCAUCUGUCCCUCCAAAUCAGUAUCAGAAAUACUUCCAAAAUUACUUCUAUCAAUCCCAUUUGUGAUACCAGUGUGAAGCGUAUGAGACUGAUGGACAAAACAACAGGCAUUGGGCAGUGAAUGGCACGCUGUGGAUACAGAUAGUAAUGAGGCUAAACGUGAAUGACGCAGAGACUAUGAUUUGGAAAACCAAUAGCUUCCUUAUUAGAAUCAUAGAGAGAGAAUUCUUUACAAAUAAGAUCCUGACAAUCUAUAAGAGGAAUAUUU